rnacentral:lncRNA from 1 species
CUAGUGUCUAAUGAAUAAGUACUAGUAACUUUACAAAAGACACUAGUAACUAAAUAAUAAGCACUAGUACCUAAAAAAUAAGCACUAGUAGUUAAUGGAAAAUAUACUAGUAUCUAAAAAAUAAGUACUAGUAAAAUUACGUUAAAUUAAAUACUAGUGCAGUUUAUAGAUUGAAUGUUACAACGGCUUGCCAUACGCUGCCUGGGGAAGGGUGCUCACACAACUAGCAAAAAAUGACUCGGGCAUUUUUGUGUUGUUGAUGUUUCUUUUACACGGCUUCUUCUUUACAUCGCCUUUCGCUUUCACUUGGUUUCCAAAUAAUGUGUUUCCACACUGUACUUAUUUUCGAAAACGUGCUGUAAAAUUAUGCCAGGUGUUUUUCUCACACUGUGUGUUUUGCUUUUGCAUGAUGCUCCUGCCACUGAUCGAGAAGAAAUAAAGUCAGUGAAGGAAGGAGAAUCUGUCACUUUAGAUCCUGGUGUAUUAAACAACACAAAUUAUUUGAUCACGUUUCUUUUUAAUGACGUUCGUCUCGCUGAAAUCAGUGGAGAACCCAGUAAGACCUGCAAAGAUGAUCAGUGUGAGGAUGCUGAUGAGAGAUUCAGAGACAGACUGGAGGUUAAUCAGACUUGAUCUCUGAUCAUCAUGAACACCAGAACCACAGACUCUGGAGAUUAUAAACUACUGAUCAUCAUCAGCAGCUUCAGUAUUAGGAGGAGCAUGAGUUUAAGUGUUACUCUCACUGGUGAGUGUCAUUCAGUGCAAAUAAAAUAAAGUGCCUUUCAUUGAGGAGUGUUUUGAGUAACAUAUCAAGAAAUGAUAUUAACCUGCACAAUGCACUAAAUGCACAAUGUAAAAAGUUUCACCUAAGCAUUGAUAUUUCCUGUUGAGUGCUUUGUUGUUGUUUUAGUUCUUGUACCUCAAAAACCACCAUUUGUCAAUUAGAUCCGUACCACACAACUGAUGAACAAAGCAGAAAGGUAUCAGUCAGAAACAUCAAAUUAAAUUGAUAUGACUGUCUCUCUUUAUCGUUACAGGUUCAGGUCUGUCUCUAGCUGCUGUAGCAGGAAUAUGUGCUGCUGUAGUUAUUCUGCUCGUGGCUGCAGCUGCUGGUGUAAUGUACUGUCUUAAGCAAAAGAAAGGUGAGUAUUACAUACAGCUGAUUGAACAAGAUGAAAUAAUAGUCAUUGUGUGUGCAAGAUGUGAAAAUAUGUAUUUUGAUUCUAAUUCACCAAAGUCAUCUUAUGUAACAUGUAUGUGUCUGAGUUUGUCAUUACUGUUCAAACAGGAAGGGGGCGGAGCCAAAUCAAGUUCAGGUAAUAUAAACCUAAACUCCUCAAAUACACAGUUCUAAUAUUUAAAUUUGUUUUGUAUGUGUGUGUGUGUAACUGAAUCAUCAAUCCUGUUAAUUUCUCUUAUACCUUCUAUGUUUUCUUACAGGAGAUUCCUAUAAAGUACUCAAUCGUUAGUCAGACUGAGGCUGCUAAUAAUGGCUCAUCCUGUAAACAGACUGAGACUGCCACUGAAACACCAGUGUAACAUUAUUUAUUUUUUUAAAACUUCCAAUGAAAGGGACAGUGAAGAGACGAUGGGAAAUAAGUAUCAAACUCACUCAAACGGUAGUCCACGUUUUUUCAGUUACAUAAACAUUGCGUCCAAAAAGGCAGUUAAGCAGUAAACCAGCAAUGAACUAAGAAACAAAACACGUUACCAGCAGCAGAACAGCGAGUGCUUGAGGUUUUCAGUAUGUAAAGUAGGGCUGCAAAACGAUUAAUUGUGAUUAAUCGAUUCAAAAUAAAAGUUUAUUUACAAAUUAUUCGUGUGUGUGCUGUGUAUAUUUAGUAUUUGUAUAUAUAAAUACACGUAUAUAUUUUAAAAAAUUUGUAUGUUAAUGUUUAUAAUUUGUUUAUAAUUUAUAUUAUAUAUAAAUAUAAAUGUUUUAUAUAUAAAUCUAACAUAUUUUACCUUAUAGCCUUAUAUAUAUAUUUUACAUAUAGUAUGUAAUCAUAAGGUUUUAUUUUGAAUCGAUUAAUCGUUUUGCGGCCCUAAUGUAGAGAUUUAUUAAAGCUGCUACAGUGAUCCAAAACAAGAACAGUCAACAAUUUCUGUUUCUUGUCAUUUGCACCAUAAUGCUUUUUGCACUGAUGUACUUAAUGUGUCAGUUAUCCUCCUUAACUGACUGUUUACGUGAAUACCUCGCCAAGACGGCUAUUAUGACGACGAAAUGUAUUUGACUGCACAAGGCCUCGUACUGCAAGACACAAGUACACUUAACAUACUAUAGUUGCCAUUACUGGUUAUGUUAUUCUGACAUCUCACUGUUAUUAUGUAUUAUGUAAACUUGUGUAAUGUGAAACAAUGUGUUUUUAGUAUGUUACAGUUGCUUAGCAAUCGCAUACCUAUUCACAUGCUUUGGAUAAUCAUGGAAUCACAGAGUGCUGUAUAAACAGAUGCUUCAGCGUUUGAGGGAAUUGAAGAAGUAUUAAAAUCCACUCAGUAUAAACUUUGUAGUACAGCACAGUAGCACAAGGUCUGUAUGAUGAUGUUCCAUGCUGGAUCCGUUAUGUAAACAGGUUGCAUGGUGCAUUAUUCCAAUCAAUGACACUGACUCAAAUAUGCAAAUAAGAACGCUAACCUGGGUUUAGGAACAUAUAACAGCCAAGAUUGUGUCAUUGUUGCUCAAAAAUUUAACAGUGUUUAUAAUAAUGCACAUAUCUUUGUGUUGUGCCUCAACUUAAAACAACAAUCCACGGUUUGAGAGUUGAAUCACUCAUCCACUCUUUAACACAUUUAUGUGCUUUGUACAUUUAUGUGAAUCACAGUGGAGUUGUAAUGUCAUCUUGCCAUUUUGUGAUAUUUUAUGAGGUGCCAUUUAGAUUGUCUCACUGCCAUAGUCUUGAAUUUCAUGUGAGAAAGAAGAGUGUGCCCUGUGGGGCAUUAAAGGUGAACAUCCUGUUCAUGAAGCAUGUUUAUUGUAAUACUAUGCUUUAUAUUAUCACUGUGUGAUAAAGAUUUGCCUCCACUUGGGGGGCUUAUCCUGUAAUAUGGGUGUUACAAUCGCUUAAAUCAAUAAUAACUGGACAUGGGUGUUUUAGUUUCACCAAUACAAAUGUUUCAGUGAUUUUAGUAAAUGAUCUGUGUAUGUAAAGAGUUUUUAAAAAGCGAACCUUAACUUUGUGUCGGCAAAUGUAAAAAAAAAAGUGCUUUAAAGUUGAGCCUGUGUAAACACUGUUGUCUUUCUAGAAAAAAAAAAAACAUAAUAAAUCAAAUAAUAAUAAUAAAUUGAAUGCUCCUUGUAUGGUUUUUUUGAUAAAUGGCAUUAAAAAUACUCA